rnacentral:rRNA from 1 species
AUCUACAGCCAUGCUACCCUGAACAAGCCCGAUCCCAUCUGAUCUCGGAAGCUAAGCAGGGUCGGGCCUGGUUAGUACUUGGAUGGGAGACCAUCCAGGAAGACCAGGUGUCUGUAGACA